CAUUUGGUUAGCCAGAAAAAAGGCAGCAGAGUGACAAAGUAUAGAGGUGCCUUUCAGCCCUGGUGUCUCGUUCCUGUACCGCGGCGCUUCCCGGGAUGAUGGUGAGCUUCUGCUGACACCUGCUGCCAGAGCCGAACGCAGCACAGCAGCGCAGGGGAAGGCACCGUCCCUCCCACGGGGUUCUUGGCAUGCAGCUUCGGAUUCGGACUGCCAGUGUGGUAUGGAAAGAGGUUCAUGAAAGCUGAAGUUUCUCAGUGGUCAUUCCUGUCCUUCCAGAACACUGCUGGGGUGCAUGCUGCCUCUGAGGACCAGGAGAUGAGGAGGCCUGUGACCAACACCCCUCUGGAAUACUGCAGCUGGAAACUUCUGUCAUUGCUCUUCCAAAGAAACAAGUGCCUCUGAAAAAUAAUUGCUUUGACCUGGGAAUGACCCAUUUCCUGAGGGUAAAUGACAGAGCAGAGACGGAAUAGCACUGGGUGAAGAUCAAACUGGAAUUUUUACAUCUUCCAUCCUGGGCCUGAAAUGAAUGCCCGGUAUUUUGACUGUCAGUGCUUGGUUCUCAUCAACAAAGUGGCACGAGUUCAGGUAUGUCCUGUUGCUGACAAUUAAUCACUCUUCUGACCCACUACUAAUAGAUUUAACUUUGUAAUCACUGUGCUCUUCAAUCCUACUUUCUUGACUGUGAUGUUGUUGUUUGCCUGUGAAAAUAGAAUGGCUCUUACCGUGAUCUCUCUCUGGUAGGACUCAUUGCUACACUCUGCAGGGUACUUACUAACAAGGCAGAUACUGUAUUUCCUGAAUUUUCCUUUAAGACUGCUUAAAGAUUUAGUUACUUGUGUAAUCU